rnacentral:rRNA from 1 species
UACAGAGGGUGCAAGCGUUAAUCGGAAUUACUGGGCGUAAAGCGUGCGUAGACGGUUAUGUAAGUUAGGUGUGAAAGCCCCGGGCUCAACCUGGGAAUGGCAUUGGUGACUGCACGGCUAGAGUGUGUCAGAGGGGGGUAGAAUUCCACGUGUAGCAGUGAAAUGCGUAGAGAUGUGGAGGAAUACCGAUGGCGAAGGCAGCCCCCUGGGAUAACACUGAUGCUCAUGCACGAAAGCGUGGGGAGCAAACAGG